ensembl:lncRNA
CUUGCUGGGAUAGGCUGGAGUAAUGUCAUUUUCAGAAGCAGCAGAAUGAAGCAGAGCCAGAAGUUACUGGGGGGCAAGCACUGUUUCAUAUCCUGAGGACCUAAAAGACUUUCACUGGCUCCUGCCCCCCGCAGAGCUUCCAGUGUGGUGACUGGAGCUGGAUGAAGGGAAAAACAGAGGACUCAGAGAGGUUAGGGUUGGCCAAGUUGAGAGCAAGAAUGAAAGGGGACCUUUUGGCCUGAGCUGAUCAACCACCUGUUGUGUGCCCGGCCUCGGGCUGGGCACUGAGUGCGGCGGCCAAAACCACCCCGGUUCAGUGGCCCGCGUCCAACACUUCACGGGAGAGAGGAAGGAGCCUCGCGAGAUCUACCUACAAGAGCGCUUGUACUCUUGGGGAUAAUGUCUGAGGAACUGCUACUACCUGUGCGGCCGGGGUCUGGACUCGGAGACUGUCCUCCAAGCUUUGGGUCGUUCGCUAGGAAAAAGACUCCCUCUCCGCCGCGCUCUGGGGAUAUGUGCCUAUCUGCGGAUUCGAGGAGAUCGAGUUUCACUGGACCCGGGAGUUGGGGCCACGGCUCGGGGAGCUGAGGCCGGAGGUGUCUCCUCCGCUCCAUCCCUGCUCGGGAAUCUUUGACGCAUCGCGCUCGAGACGCCGUUGCCUGGGUUCCUGCUCGCCCAGCUUUGUGGAAGGAUAGCUGGACGUCGCGAGGCUUUAGCCUGAGCCAUCGGUCAGGCUGGGUCAGACGUGCACACUCUUGGUGUAGCCGCCGCGCCAGGGCGGAACUCCCACCGCGGCCUCGCCGGGUAGACGUGCCAGGUCUCGGGUGCCUGGCCCUGCUGCGCCUUGGCGCCCAGAGCCCUCUGCGGGGAACAGGGACUCCAGACUCACCUGGAAACACUGGUUUCGAGGAACCUCUCCACCUUUGACUCCCCAGGGACUCCUGGGACGUGCAGCCGUGUAAAAGAGCUGCUCUCUCUCCUGCCCGGGAGUCUGGCAUCUCCCCAUCACACACGCACAUCUGGAGAGGGAAAGGAAGGGCCCAGCUACAGCCCAUUACGAAGCCACCAGCAGUCCAGACCGUUCCAGCCAAUUUCCGUUGCUUGUUCCUCCUGUGUGCACGCGCACGUGCUCGCGUGUGCACACAUUCUGAAUUCAAGAUGGAGAAACUGGGCCUACAAAAGCUGGGAGGGAUUUUUUUUCCCUAGUGACCCCCAAACUCCGUACAGCUGUGUCCUGCGCCUUCAGGAGCUGGUUGCAGCCUCACACUCCUUAUCCUUAGGUCUGAGAAUGUACAAUGCGAAGAAAUACCUCAGGGCAGUUUGUUGGCUGUUGGAAGCAUUUGUACAGCUUCUUUCAGUCCACAGCACGCUUUUCUGGCACCUGCUCUGCCCUAGUCCUGGGCCCAAGCCCCGGGGACACUGAUGAUUCAGGCUUACCUCCUGAACCCCUGGCCCGGGGGUGCUCACACUGGUUGUGCCCUCUGCCUUGCCAGGCUGUGUGCUUUUCUGCAGGGAGCACAGUCUGGGCCAUGAGCAGCUGUGGUUGCUGCUAAACAAGGUUAUGGCCUGGACACACACCCAAGACCUUCCAUCCUUUGUUCAGGCCCUCCCUACCCCGAGGGGGGCCUCCCCUGUGGACACUCAGUACACUGGUACUCUAAUCCUGCAGUGGCUCCUUAGGUCUUGGCUGGAGGAGUAGUCAAGUGCUUUGACAGCCAUUCUGGUGUGGAUCCAUUCAGAGCUGCCCCUUUCAUCAAGGAUGCCCCAGCUUCCUGCAAAUUGCCAGCCUUGCCAUUUCUGCUCCUGCACCACCUCCUCCAUGUGCCCCAGCCCCUGCACUCACUGUCAGCCAGGUUGCCUGACCCAAUCACACAUCUAUGUCUCUUAUCUGCAAAGGUGGUGGCAAAUGGGGUGCUGCCAGAGGAAGGGCUGUCUGUGGCCAUGUCAGCACAGAGCCAGAUGCAGAUGAACUGUGGAAAAGUGUUUGUUGAAUGAGUGGUAUUUUAUCUUUCUCUAAAAGCUGAAGCCAAAAAAUACAUCACAACAGCUCAAAGCCUUGUGUGAGUCAGAGGUUUAAGGCUUGUUUGCCUUCUCCAUGGGCACAAAAUGCCUAUCAGGCAAGAAACUUCUUGGGGAGAUGGCAGAAUUCUCUGGCCCUUCUGCCAGAGGUGGAGCCCUUGGAGAUGUCCUCACUAGAGAGAGGAGCGACAGAGCAGGAGGGCCCCAGCAGGAGCCUCAAGCUGAGAUCAAAGGUGAUAUUUUUACAGCAACUGAAAUAGAAAACCACUGGACACAGUGGGAGGUGAGUGGCCGGGACACAGGCCCCUCUAUGAUGCCUGUGGCUUCAGCAAGCAUUCUGCCCUCUGCCUUGGGUGUGGGGGACUGUGUGGUGAUCUUCCCAACCAAGGUUCAAGGAGGAAACAGACAUGAGCAACAGCCCUCAGUGCUGGGAGAGGAGAGGGACAUCAGUGAAGGAUCAUAGUGAGCACUCGGUGCCUGACAUCCUCACCCCAGACCACUCUGUCACUGUGCAGUAGUGUCUGAGUUGUUCCAGGGCUUCUUGGUACACCGUUUCAUCUGUACAGAGGCCUCUGAGGAGGAUUAUUGUCACCCCUGUUUUACUGAGAGUGCUUGAAACUAAGUCCUGUAGGGAAUUGGGGGCCAAUUCAGAACUAGAAGCCUGGGGCUGCUGGUCCAAGAUUCUUUCUGCUCUUUUUUUUUUUUUUUUGGUACCAGGGAUCGAACGCGGGUCCUUGCGCUUGCACAGCAGGCAGCAAAACCACUGAGCUACAUCCCCAGCCCUUCUUUCUGCUCUUUAUAAUCCUGCCCACCUACUCAUGCUCCAAAUCACUGUUCCCAUUAGCACUGGUCCUGGCUGCCCCUUCCAUAAUAGCACCCACAGUCAUGUCCACGAAAGCAGUGGGACUCAAAGCAUGGCCCCCAGAUCAGCAGCAUCAGCAUUAUCCAGGAACAUGCUAGAAAUGCAGAUUGUCAGGUCCCAACCCAGAUUUACCUAACCAGAAACGAAGUUGGGCCCAGCCCUCAAGACUUCAACAUACUCUCCAGGUGAUUCAGUUGCACUAACGGUGAGGAUCACUGCACUGUGUUACCUCAGUUUCCACAUCUGUACUCUACAGAAAAAAACACCUGUCUCACAAGGUUGAGCCCAGUGUUGUCUAACACACAUGCUAGGUGUGUGCCCUGUGCCAAGCAUCCUUCCAGCCCUUUGCAGGCAUUAACUCACGUAAUUUCACAACCCUGUGAGAUAGGAGCUAAGUCUCCUCAUCUCACAGAUGAGGAAAUGGAAGCACAGAGAGGGAAAGGGACUUGGCCAGGGUCGCACAGCUAGGAAAUAGCUGGGUUCUAGAAUCCCAGCUCUUUACAGCUAACCAAUAGAAAGUCCCUGACAAUGGGUCUGGCUCCCAAAUGUUCUGGGCAUGACUAAAAAUGUUAUGAUGGCAAUUAGUAUUACCUCACCUGAACUCAAGAUGAUGACCCCCAUUCUGUAAAUGUGAAAUCUGCUGCCUUGUCAAGAUCGAGGCGUGAGUCAGCUUCAACCACAGCCACAGUGUCUGAAACCCCAGUACAGCACAGGCCUCUCCCUUCCCUGAUCCAGGAGACCACAGUGUACCAUUCUGGGCUGCUGGAACAACCCAGCUGGUUGCAGGGUAGAAUGUGGGCUCUGGCAGAGAGGGAGCUGGAGCCCCAGUUUGGCCACUCAAGUUCUGCGUGACCUCUCUGAACCUCACAUUCCUUCUCUGUAAAUUGAUCGAUGACAGUCCUAACUCUGAAGGUUCCUGUGAGGUUGGAGACAAUGACAUUUGUCCCAACCCAGAGCAUGCACAGAGCUGGCUAUCAUCAAGCAACUUGCCCCUCUCUUCCCCCUGUGGCUGCUAGCUCAGUGGAAACAGCAGCUCCGAAUCCAGAAAGGUUUUGAAAGGAGAAGAAAUAAGUUCCCAAGAACCCAAGUGCUUUUAUCCUCCAGCUUCCCUAACCUGUUCCACAUCUCUCCUGCCCAAGGUGUUGGGGUUAAAUACUGACACCAGCUGCACCCAAGUCAGGAGUCCAGUUACCUGCAAAAGGGAGAGGCGUCUUACUCCCCCAGCCUCAUUGGCUAGGCAGGCAACAACAAUCAGCAGGAGCAUCCAAGACCUGUCACCACCAUGGCCAGUUUGGCCUGGACAUAUGAAGCUCGUUAGCUGCAUGCUCCUAAGGGCCUGAGCCCGCUUGGCAAGAAUUUCCCCAGACAGGGCAACCCAUUUGGGACCCCUCCUGUCUCCCAGGAGCUAUUCUUAUUCCUAAUUCUUAUUCUCCAUUCUUAUUCCCCAAUAAAUGUUCCUACUCUUAACCUCUGUUGUUCCUUAGACAAACGUGCCAUAUCUGAUAUCUAGCAUGAUGGGAGCAACGUCUAUUCCCCCUAUAUCCCCCCUUCUGUCUCUCUUAGACAGAAGCUAUCUUUCUCUCAAUAAAUCCUUCUUAAAUAUGGUAUUUAUACACAAUGAAGUACUAUUCUGCUCUAAAGGAUAAAUUUGAGUCAUUUGUAGAAAAAUGGAGGCACCUUGAAACCAUACUAUUAAGUGAAAUACUAUAAAUCAGACCCAAGCUCAAAUAUCACAUGGUUUCUCUUAUAUGAGAAACCCAAAGUAUAAAAAAAUUUAAAGAGCAAGUUAAAGAUAGAUAAUAGGAAACAGAGAGCUAGAUUUUUUGCAAAUGGAAAAAGUACCAAGAGAUAGAUAGAGAUGAGAGGAAGAGAAGAGGAAGUAAGAGGAAUUAAGAUGUGUUUGUUAUGUACCAAUUCCCCAUGAUGAAUGUAAUCAUUAUGUACUGCAAACAUGUACUAAUAAAAAUUAAAAAAAAAAUUCUUCCUACUCUUAACCUCCAUUGUUCCUAGAAUUCAUUCGAGUUUAGAGAGCUCGAACUUGGCAUUUCAAAUGUCUAGCGGGCAUUGAAACCAGCAUGCUACAGGGAUACCCGCAUACCCACGUUUACUACAGCAUAAUUCACAGUAGCCAAGACAUGGAGCCAGCCGAGGUGGCCACGGACAGUUUUAGCAGAUACAAAACACUGCAGCCCUCAGCAGACACACACUCCUUAGGCGGUUGAAGACCAGGUAUAUGUCCUACUGUCUCCACCCAGAUACAGAUGUUCUGUGUCCUCACACAGAACGCAGAACGGAUGUUAUAGAAAGGAGAAAAGACCACAAAGCACAGCACAACAUCUUCCCGGUGCCAGGUCAACUGACAACACCCACACAUCUGCCCUGCCCGCUGCAUGGACCCUGACCACAAAUAUUUGCUCCAGCCCCUGUAAGUGCCAGACCCCUUCCUGAUCCCCUAUAAAAAUCCCUGCCUGUUUGGUUGUUGGCCCUCAGUCGACUUGCACCCAGGUGAAUAAAGUCUGUGCCUCAUUGCUUUCCCAAAAAAAAAACAAUUUCCCCAGACAGAGCUGCAGAGGACAUGGCAAAUGAAGACCAG